rnacentral:rRNA from 1 species
UACGUAGGGGGCAAGCGUUGUCCGGAAUUAUUGGGCGUAAAGAGCGUGUAGGCGGUCCGGUAAGUCAGCUGUGAAAGUCAAGGGCUCAACCCUUGAAAGCCGGUUGAUACUGUCGGGCUAGAGUCCGGAAGAGGCGAGUGGAAUUCCCGGUGUAGCGGUGAAAUGCGCAGAUAUCGGGAGGAACACCAAUGGCGAAGGCAGCUCGCUGGGACGGUACUGACGCUGAGACGCGAAAGCAUGGGGAGCAAACAGG